rnacentral:rRNA from 1 species
CGGCGGCCGUAACUAUAACGGUCCUAAGGUAGCGAAAUUCCUUGUCGGGUAAGUUCCGACCUGCACGAAUGGUGUAACGAUCUGGGUACUGUCUCAACCGCGAGCUCGGUGAAAUUGUAGUAUCGGUGAAGAUGCCGAUUACCCGCAACGGGACGAAAAGACCCCGUGAACCUUUACUAUAGCUUUGCAUUGGAUUUGGGUAACAAAUGUGUAGGAUAGGCCGGAGACUAAGAAGCGGGUACGCCAGUAUUCGUGGAGUCGCCGUUGAAAUACGGCCCUUUUGUUAUUUGGGUUCUAACUCGCGGAUGCGAGGACAUUGCAUGGUGGGUAGUUUGACUGGGGUGGUCGCCUCCAAAAGUGUAACGGAGGCUUCUAAAGGUACCCUCAGACCGAUUGGUAACCGGUCGUAGAGUGUAAUGGCACAAGGGUGCUUGACUGGGAGACUAACAAGUCGCACAGGUAGGAAACUAGAGCAGAGUGAUCCGGUGGUUCCGUAUGGAAGGGC